rnacentral:rRNA from 1 species
GAGUCGGCCUGCGCGGAAGAUGUAACGGGGCUCAAACUGGAUACCGAAGCUGCGGCAGCAGACUUGUUCUGCUGGGUAGGGGAGCGUUGUGUAAGCCUGUGAAGGUGUGUUGAGAAGCAUGCUGGAGGUAUCACAAGUGCGAAUGCUGACGUGAGUAACGAUAAUGGGGGUGAAAAACCCCCACGCCGAAAGACCAAGGUUUCCUGCGCAACGCUAAUCGGCGCAGGGUGAGUCGGCCCCUAAGGCGAGGCAGAAAUGCGUAGCUGAUGGGAAACGGGUUAAUAUUCCCGUACUUCUUAUAACUGCGAUGGAGAGACGGAGAAGGCUAUGCCUACCGGGCGUUGGUUGUCCCGGGGAAAGGCUGUAGGCUGAGGUGUUAGGCAAAUCCGGCACCUUAAGGCUGAGAGUCGAGACCACUGGUCCUUUGUGACCGGGAAGUGGUUGAUGCCAUGCUUCCAGGAAAAUCUUCUAAGCUUCAGGUUAUAAGGAACCGUACCCCAAACCGACACAGGUGGUUGGGAUGAGUAUUCUAAGGCGCUUGAGAGAACUCGGGUGAAGGAACUAGGCAAAAUUGUACCGUAACUUCGGGAGAAGGUACGCCGCUGACGGUGACGAGACUUGCUCUCUGAGCUAUUGGCGGUCGCAGUGAAAAGGCCCCUGCAACUGUUUAUUAAAAACACAGCACUCUGCAAACGCGUAAGCGGACGUAUAGGGUGUGACGCCUGCCCGGUGCCGGAAGGUUAAUUGAUGGGGUUAGCUUCGGCGAAGCUCUUGAUCGAAGCCCCGGUA